GAUGAACGCUGGCGGCGUGCCUAAUACAUGCAAGUCGAGCGAACAGACGAGGAGCUUGCUCCUCUGACGUUAGCGGCGGACGGGUGAGUAACACGUGGAUAACCUACCUAUAAGACUGGGAUAACUUCGGGAAACCGGAGCUAAUACCGGAUAACAUGUUGAACCGCAUGGUUCAACAGUGAAAGACGGUCUUGCUGUCACUUAUAGAUGGAUCCGCGCCGCAUUAGCUAGUUGGUAAGGUAACGACUUACCAAGGCAACGAUGCGUAGCCGACCUGAGAGGGUGAUCGGCCACACUGGAACUGAGACACGGUCCAGACUCCUACGGGAGGCAGCAGUAGGGAAUCUUCCGCAAUGGGCGAAAGCCUGACGGAGCAACGCCGCGUGAGUGAAGAAGGUCUUCGGAUCGUAAAACUCUGUUAUUAGGGAAGAACAAAUGUGUAAGUAACUAUGCACGUCUUGACGGUACCUAAUCAGAAAGCCACGGCUAACUACGUG
rnacentral:rRNA from 1 species